AUACGAACUGUGCAAACGUUAUUCGGAAUCACUGGGCUUAAAGGGUGCGUAGGCGGACUUGAAGGUCCGAUGUGAAAUCCCACGGCUCAACCGUGGAAUUGCGUCGGAAACCACAAGUCUUGAGGGAGUCAGAGGUAAGCGGAACUGAUGGUGGAGCGGUGGAAUGCGUUGAUAUCAUCAGGAACACCGGUGGCGAAAGCGGCUUACUGGGACUUUUCUGACGCUGAGGCACGAAAGCUAGGGGAGCGAACGGGAUUAGAUACCCUAGUAGUCC
rnacentral:rRNA from 1 species